CCUACGGGAGGCUGCAGUGGGGGAUAUUGCACAAUGGGGGAAACCCUGAUGCAGCGACGCCGCGUGGGUGAAGGAGUGUUUCGGCGUGUAAAGCUCUAUCGGCAGGGAAGAAGAAGAAGGUUACUGGCGAAAAAAGCCCGGGCUAACUACUUGCAAGCAGCCGCGGUAAUACGUAGGGGGCAAGCGUUAUCGGAAUUUACUGGGUGUAAAGGGGGCGUAGCCGGAGAGCAAAGCCGGAAGUGAAAGCCCGGGGCUCAACCGCGGAAUGGCUUUGGAAACUGCUUGGCUGGAGUACAGGGGAGGCAGGCGGAAUUCCUAGUGUAGCGGUGAAAUGCGUAGAUAUUAGGAGGAACACCGGUGGCGAAGGCGGCCUACUGGACUGUAACUGACGUUGAGGCCCGAAGGCGUGGGGAGCAAACAGGAUUAGAUACCCGGGUAGUC
rnacentral:rRNA from 1 species